AGAUUGAACGCUAGCGGGAUGCUUUACACAUGCAAGUCGAACGGCAGCGCGGACUUCGGUCUGGCGGCGAGUGGCGAACGGGUGAGUAAUAUAUCGGAACGUGCCCAGUAGUGGGGGAUAACGUAGGGAAACUUACGCUAAUACCGCAUACGCCCUUCGGGGGAAAGCCGGGGACCAGCAAUGGCCUGGUGCUGAUAGAUGAGCCGAUGUCGGAUUAGCUAGUUGGUGAGGUAAUGGCUCACCAAGGCGACGAUCCGUAGCUGGUCUGAGAGGAUGAUCAGCCACACUGGAACUGAGACACGGUCCAGACUCCUACGGGAGGCAGCAGUGGGGAAUAUUGGACAAGUGGGCGCAAGCCUGAUCCAGCCAUACCGCGUGGGUGAAGAAGGCCUUCGGUUGUAAAGCCCUUUUGUAGGAAAGAAAGCAUUACGGUAAUACCGGUGUUCUGACGUACCAAGAAUAAGCACGGCUAACUCGCGCCACGCAGCCGCGUAA
rnacentral:rRNA from 1 species